GGGAUAAGCCUGGGAAACUGGGUCUAAUACCGGAUAGGACGAUGGUUUGGAUGCCAUUGUGGAAAGUUUUUCGGUGUGGGAUGAGCUCGCGGCCUAUCAGCUUGUUGGUGGGGUAAUGGCCUACCAAGGCGUCGACGGGUAGCCGGCCUGAGAGGGUGUACGGCCACAUUGGGACUGAGAUACGGCCCAG
rnacentral:rRNA from 1 species